AUUGAACGCUGGCGGCAUGCUUUACACAUGCAAGUCGAACGGCAGCGCGGGGGCAACCCUGGCGGCGAGUGGCGAACGGGUGAGUAAUGCAUCGGAACGUAUCCUGUAAUGGGGGAUAACGUAGCGAAAGUUACGCUAAUACCGCAUACGCUCGAGAGAGGAAAGUGGGGAUCGCAAAGACCUCACGUUAUAGGAGCGGCCGAUGUCCGAUUAGCUAGUUGGUGGGGUAAAGGCCUACCAAGGCGACGAUCGGUAGCUGGUCUGAGAGGAUGAUCAGCCACACUGGGACUGAGACACGGCCCAGACUCCUACGGGAGGCAGCAGUGGGGAAUUUUGGAC
rnacentral:rRNA from 1 species